UACGGGGGGGGCAAGCGUUGUUCGGAAUUACUGGGCGUAAAGGGCUCGUAGGCGGCCAACUAAGUCAGACGUGAAAUCCCUCGGCUUAACCGGGGAACUGCGUCUGAUACUGGAUGGCUUGAGGUUGGGAGAGGGAUGCGGAAUUCCAGGUGUAGCGGUGAAAUGCGUAGAUAUCGGGAGGAACACCGGUGGCGAAGGCGGUUCUCUGGGCCUGUUCUGACGCUGAGGAGCGAAAGCGUGGGGAGCGAACAGG
rnacentral:rRNA from 1 species